rnacentral:rRNA from 1 species
UGGGGAAUAUUGGACAAUGGGCGAAAGCCUGAUCCAGCCAUGCCGCGUGUGUGAAGAAGGUCUUCGGAUUGUAAAGCACUUUAAGUUGGGAGGAAGGGCAGUAAGCGAAUACCUUGCUGUUUUGAUGUUACCGACAGAAUAAGCACCGGCUAACUCUGUGCCAGCAGCCGCGGUAAUACAGAGGGUGCAAGCGUUAAUCGGAAUUACUGGGCGUAAAGCGCGCGGAGGUGGUUCGUUAAGUUGAAUGUGAAAGCCCCGGGCUCAAACUGGGAACUGCCAUCAAAAAUGGCUAGCUGGAGUAGGGCAGAGGGUGGUGGAAAUUCCUGUGUAGCGGUGAAAUGCGUAGAUAUAGGAAGGAAAACCAGUGGCGAAGGCGACCACCUGGGAUCAUACUGACACUGAGGUGCGAAAGCGUGGGGAGCAAACAGG